AUGCUCUGGACCUGCCUGUGCCUGGGUGGCAAUCACAGUAAUUGGGACACUUUUCCUGUGAGCUGCUUGUAUCCAUCACCUACUGGCCACUUCCCCGAGACUCCCCAGUUCAAGAUGGCCCCAAGUGAACUCCUUAUCUCUUUCUACCCACUGCAUCUCUUUCUCCUCCCAUUCUUUUUCCUUCUUUCAGAGAGGAGGGCCACCAAUUCUCCAAGAGCCAGAAAACUCUUCCUGAAAACCUUCCACAGGAGGGGGCUGAUGUUACCUACAACCAUGGAGCAUCACGCCCAUGAAUGUGCUUUUUGAACAUCUCUAGUGGAUUCACUACGGCUUCCCAGGUGGCGCAGUGGUGAAGAAUCCUCCUGCCAGUGAAGGAGAUGCAAGACACUGGAGUUUGAUCCUUGGGUAGGGAAGAUCCCCUGAAGAAGGAAAUGGCAACCCGCUCCAGGAUUCUUGCCUGGAGAAUCCCAUGGACAGAGGAGCCUGGUGGGCUACAGUUCAUGGGGUCGCAGAGUCGGAUGCAGCUGAACAACUGAGUGUGCCCGCAGUGGACUGACCCCCUCCAUCUCCUCAUCUGUUACAGUUGGGAUGCAUCGGGACGCCUUGACUUUCACCUGCGGACCUCUACACUCUCACACUUGGGGGGCAGCAAAUUUACUCUCUUUACUCCGGUACAGUAGCCCUCCCCCUUAUCUGUGAAGAUGCUUCCCAGACCCUCCGUGGAUUCCUGAAACCGGGGAUAACACUGAACCCUGCAUGUAAUACUAUGCUUUUCCUAUACAUACACACCUAUGAUAAAGUUUAAUUUAUGUUAGACACAGGGAGAGAUUAGCAAUCACUAUUCAUAAAAGAGCACAAUUAUGGCAAUAUAUACUGUAACAAAAUUUACGUGAAUAUUGUCUCUCAAAGUAUUUUAUAAGUACUCUGCUCACUCUUCUUUUUUUUAUUUUUAAACUUUUAAUUUUUGUCUUGGACUAUAGCUGAUUAACAGCGUUGUGAUAGUUUCAGAUGAACAGCGAGGGGACUCGGUCAUCCAUACACAUGCAUCCACUCUUCCCCAAACUCCCCUCCCAUCCAGGCUCUCACAUAACACUGAGCGGAGUUCCCUGGCCUACACAGUAGGUCCUUGCUGGUUAUCCAUUUUAAAUAGAGCAGCGUGGACAUGUCUGUCCCAGACUCCCUGACUAUCCCUCCCCCUAAUUCUUCCCCCUGGCAACCACAAGUCGCUCUCAAAGUCUGUGAAACUCUUUCUGUUUUGUAAGAAGUUCCCUUGUGUCAUUUCUUUUCAGAUUCCACAUGUAAGGGA
ensembl:lncRNA